CAAAAAAUAGUUUAAGGAAAAUGCUGGUUUUGGGGACCAGUGAUAGAAGUUGUACCUUCUUUUUUUGA
rnacentral:tRNA from 1 species